GAGAAGAGAGUAUAAGUGAAGAAGAAGUUGAUGAUGGAGGAGUAGAUUCAAAUGAUUCUGAGGAAAGCGACGACGCUGUGAUCUACUACUCCGAUGAUUCUGAUGUCGAUGAUAUGAAUCGCCAUGUCUGGACCAGUAUUACAAGGAGCUGGAUGAGAGCGAGGGUUUUGAUUUCUCUGUCCACCCGGGUACUUCUUUUCAUGCUCCAAUUUCACAGCUACGGAGUUACUUGAAGAAUCCAGAGAAAAAAAAGAGAUACACUGACCUCUGCAACAUGGCUAUUGGAUUGUUCAAUUCAUUGAAUGCUAAAAAGUAUGAGUUCGUGGAUAUUGUGAGGGUAAACAUAUCAUAUGCUGCGGGAGCUUGGUAUUAUGUCGCCUUUAAAGCCUGUGGUACUGACACUGACGAUGCUGAUGCUAUUAAGAUAUUUAAAGCAUUGGUGUGGAGCGGAAUUGAUGAAACCAGCAAGGUGGAAUUUUGCAGGCUUAAGAAAUCCU